rnacentral:rRNA from 1 species
GUAGGUGGCGAGCGUUAUCCGGAUUUACUGGGCGUAAAGCGCGUGCAGGCGGUUCCGUAAGUCGGACGUGAAAGCUCCUGGCUUAACUGGGAGAGGCCGUUCGAUACUGCGGGACUUGAGGUCGGGAGAGGGACGUGGAAUUCCCGGUGUAGUGGUGGAAUGCGUAGAUAUCGGGAGGAACACCAGUGGCGAAGGCGGCGUCCUGGCCCGCACCUGACGCUAAGACGCGAAAGCGUGGGUAGCGAACGGGAUUAGAUACCCCGGGUAGUCCAUGCCGUAAACGGUGGAUACUAGGUGUUGGUGGCUAUCGUCAUCAGUGCCGUAGCUAACGCGUUAAGUAUCCCGCCUGGGGACUACGGCCGCAAGGCUA